rnacentral:lncRNA from 1 species
AAAAUAAAAAUUAAAAUAUUUAUGUAACGCCCAAAUUUUGAACUCUUGGUUUAUUAAAUUCUAUCAUAAAUUAAGUAUCUAUUUUAGUGGUUUAGAGCUUUAAUUGUGUGCUUGAGAUUUGAGAUUUAAGUCCCAUUUUUGAAAAAUUUUGCUAUUUGUUUUGUCUAAACCUUUAUCCAAUAAGGAAAUAUAUUUUUAUACUACUCCGUAAAAUUAGUUUAUUUAAAUUAUUUAAAUUGUUUUUCUUUUUCCCUCUUCCAUUUUACAAUUUUUUCUUCUUUUAUCUUUCUUCUUAUCGUUUCUUUUUCUUCUUUGUUUACCUUUUUCUUUUAUUUCCUACCGCUAAUUUUUGCUGUUGUUCUGUCGGGGGAAUUGCGUAUUUCAUUGUUUUCAGCUAAAAGGUUAACCGCAUAAGUUCUGUUGUUGAAUUUCUAUUAACGCUCGCUCUUGUUUGUUAUUUUUCAAAAUUGUUUUUUUUUUUGUUGGUUUUGUUCGAUUUAUCUGUUUAAGUGUUCAUUUGACUUUCUUUAGGCAAAGAUCUUGAGGAUAACGUUCCUACAACGAAUUAGAUCUGUGUAUUAUUGUUACGUACAAGGGUGAGUGUCUGAUUUUCAAGUUGGGGUUUUGUGUCGAAGUUAUUCGAUGUAGUUCGGUGUUAGAUGUGAAUUUAACGUUUUGGUUGUGAAUAAAUCAUUUGAUUGGACAAUUGGUUGUCAUUUUUAGGUUCCAGAAUCGUCAGUGUUUCUCUUACAUUAAAAUCGUAUCAGGUGUGUAACGAAAACUAGAGAAAUCAAUGAUCGGUGAAAGCCGAAAUUGGGGUUGUUGACACUACACGACCUUGUGACAGGCUGUGUGUCAAACCGUGUAACUCUUUGUCUUAAGUCACAUGGGUGCGUGCUAAGCCGUGUCCCAAACAGUGUAACUCUCUGACUUGAGUCACACGGGCGUAUGUCAGGCCAUGUGUCUGACCGUGUAACUCUCUGACUUGAGUCACACGGUCGUGUGCUAGGCCAUAUGACAAACCGUGUAAGGCAUUGACAUGAGCCACAUAGUCAUGUUCUAGGCCAUGUGAGCCGCAUGGGCCAACCUAGUAGGCCAUGUGAAUCCACACGGGCAUGUGGGCCAAAUUUCUAAAAUAAAGCCCUAGAGCCGUAAAUAUUGUUCGGAUCAAAGGUAGGCCUUUCGUAGGGUCCGUAUGAUUUGAAUUAAGCUAUAAAACUUGAUAUACGAUGAUUUGUUAUUGUAUAAUAUGUUAUCUAUACAUAUGUCUGAUACAAUAUCUGUUGAGUAAAAUAUGGUUUGUAUUGUUUGGAUAUAAUUUGAAUUUGUAUCACUGCAUAUACGACUUUGAUAUUUGUUAGUUCUACAUUUGCAUUGGGGUGGGAUUUGUGUUAAAAGGAGGAAGUGUGAACAGUUAAUCAUCUACUAAUUUUGGUGGCUAAGCCACAUAUAUAUAUAUGAUUCUGGUGACUUAUCGCACUUUGAACUGGCAGCUAGUAUACAAUUAUUCUGAAAUGUGAUUUACAGUCACUAUGCGGUGUGUAGGGAUAGAAGGGUACUUGAUACCCUAUCUGGUGUGAAUGAGUGGACGGGGAUGGUGUGUAGCGGUUGAGGGUAGGACUUUGAAUCUGUAUCUAAUAUGCUCUACAUCUGAAUCUGUAUCUGAUAUACUUUGCUUCUGUUUCUGAUUAUGAAAACUGUUUGAAUAUAGAAAAUCGGAAAGUAUGUCUGAUAUUGCUCCGAAUAAUUGAUUAUAUAUGUUACACACUAAGCUUAUUUCUCAUUUUGUCUGCUU